rnacentral:tRNA from 1 species
GGUAAGAUGGCUGAGUGUCCAAGCGGUGGUUUGUAGCUCCAUAAACAAAGGUUUAAGUCCUUUUCUUGCCA